UGGGCGGAAUUCGUGGUGUAGCGGUGAAAUGCUUAGAUAUCACGAAGAACUCCGAUUGCGAAGGCAGCUCACUAGACUGUUACUGACACUGAUGCUCGAAAGUGUGGGUAUCAAACAGGAUUAGAUACCCUGGUAGUCCACACAGUAAACGAUGAAUACUCGCUGUUUGCGAUAUACAGUAAGCGGCCAAGCGAAAGCAUUAAGUAUUCCACCUGGGGAGUACGCCGGCAACGGUGAAACUCAAAGGAAUUGACGGGGGCCCGCACAAGCGGAGGAACAUGUGGUUUAAUUCGAUGAUACGCGAGGAACCUUACCCGGGCUUAAAUUGCAACAGAAUAUAUUGGAAACAGUAUAGCCGUAAGGCUGUUGUGAAGGUGCUGCAUGGUUGUCGUCAGCUCGUGCCGUGAGGUGUCGGCUUAAGUGCCAUAACGAGCGCAACCCUUAUCUUUAGUUACUAACAGGUUAUGCUGAGGACUCUAGAGAGACUGCCGUCGUAAGAUGUGAGGAAGGUGGGGAUGACGUCAAAUCAGCACGGCCCUUACGUCCGGGGCUACACACGUGUUACAAUGGGGGGUACAGAAGGCGGCUACCUGGUGACAGGAUGCUAAUCCCAAAAACCUCUCUCAGUUCGGAUCGAAGUCUGCAACCCGACUUCGUGAAGCUGGAUUCGCUAGUAAUCGCGCAUCAGCCAUGGCGCGGUGAAUACGUUCCCGGGCCUUGUACACACCGCCCGUCAAGCCAUGAAAGCCGGGGGUACCUGAAGUACGUAACCGCAA
rnacentral:rRNA from 1 species